rnacentral:rRNA from 1 species
GAAGGCUGAAAUUCGCCUUCAUGAAGCUGGAAUUGCUAGUAAUGGCAGGUCAGCAUACUGCCGUGAAUACGUUCCCGGGCCUUGUACACACCGCCCGUCACACCAUGAGAGUUGGGAAUACCCGAAGCCUGUGAGCUAACUUAUAGGGGCAGCAGUCGAAGGUAGAAUCAAUGAUUGGGGUGAAGUCGUAACAAGGUAGC